AAAACAUUCUCCCUCCCUAGUAUAGGCGACAGAAAAGGAAAAAGGAGCUAUAGCACUAGUACCGCAAGGGAAGGCUGAAAGAGCAAUGAAACAACGCUAAAGUAAAGAACAGCAGAGCUUACCCCUCGUACCUUUUGCAUCAUGAGUUAGCUAGUAUACCCAAGCAAGGAGCACCAUAGCUUGAUACCCCGAAACUGGGUGAGCUACUCCAGGACAGCCUAUAUAGGGCAAACCCGUCUCUGUGGCAAAAGAGUGGGAAGAUCCUUGAGUAGAAGUGACAGACUUACCGAACUCAGUUAUAGCUGGUUGUCUGAGAGAUGGAUAUUAGUUCAGCCCUCCUCCUUUUUACCUCAUGGGCCACAGUGCUCUUAUGAUAAAAAGAAGGGGGAGGAGUUAGUCGAAGGGGGUUCAGCCCCUUUGAAAAAAGACACAACUUUUUAAGGAGGAUAAAGAUAGCAACCAAGGGCAGCGCUUCAGUGGGCCUGAAAGCAGCCAACUUAGCAGAAAGCGUUAAAGCUCAAGCGCAACAUAACCCAUAAAUCUCAUUAAAACUUUCUAAAGCCCCAUAAUUUAUCAGACCUUUCCACCCUGUGGAAGAGAACAUGCUAAUAUGAGUAACAAGAAGACACUACGAGCUUCUCCCCGCACACCCAUAAAUCGGAACGGACAACCCACCGAAUAUUAACGGACCCAAAACAUAGAGGGCCCUGGGAAACAGCAAAUGAACUGGAAGACCACCCACCCCCAACCCGUUGACCCCACACUGGCGUGCAUGAAGGAAAGACUAAAAGAGAGAGAAGGAACUCGGCAAACAAAUGAAGCCUCGCCUGUUUACCAAAAACAUCGCCUCUUGCUAACUACUUGUAGAAUAAGAGGUCUAGCCUGCCCAGUGACAAUAUGUUCAACGGCCGCAGUAUUUUGACUGUGCUAAGGUAGCGCAAUCACUUGUCUUUUAAAUGAAGACCUGUAUGAAAGGUAUGACGAGGGCUUGACUGUCUCCUCUCUCCGGUCAGUGAAAUUGAUCUCCCCGUGCAGAAGCGGGGAUUCAAGCAUAAGACGAGAAGACCCUGUGGAGCUUAAGACAACCGGGUAGCCCAUGUCAAGGAUCCCACCUAAGGGAAAGAACUAAUUGGACCCUGCCCUAGUGUCUUAGGUUGGGGCGACCAUGGGGAACACCCAACCCCCAUGAGGACCGGGAGCACUGCAGGGAAAAUCCCCCAGCCUUUGACCACCCUCCUAGAAACCCGGGCUCCGGCCCUAGUUCACGAAAAAUUCGACCUAUACUGAUCCGGCCCAAGCCGAUCAACGGACCAAGUUACCCCAGGGAUAACAGCGCUAU
rnacentral:rRNA from 1 species